ACUAGGUUUCCUGGCAAAGGGUGCAUGACAAGUAAUCUAUGGGAAGCACUGAGACCAGCACCUGGUAUAGAGCAGAGGAGCUGCCAUUAUUGCUUGUGUUUGCUGGGAUCACACAACAAAAACAUUCUAUAAUUUCUUCACCAGCUAUUUCCAUGGAGCUUAGUGAGAAUUUCUUAGGAAGCCUUUGAGAAAUCUUUUUAAGUUAUAUUUUCUAGUAAACGUAAAUUAUAGCACUCCCACCAAAGGCAUAGAGAACAAAGCUUUUGAUCGCAAUACAGAAUCUCUCUUUGAAGAACUGUCUUCAGCUGGCUCAGGCCUAAUAGGAGAUGUGGAUGAAGGAGCAGAUUUACUAGGAAUGGGUCGGGAAGUUGAGAAUCUUAUAUUAGAAAAUACACAACUGUUGGAAACCAAAAAUGCUUUGAAUAUAGUGAAGAAUGAUUUGAUAGCAAAAGUGGAUGAACUGACCUGUGAGAAAGAUGUGCUGCAGGGGGAAUUGGAGGCUGUGAAGCAAGCCAAACUGAAACUAGAGGAAAAGAACAGAGAAUUGGAGGAAGAGCUUAGGAAAGCUCGGGCAGAAGCUGAAGAUGCAAGGCAAAAAGCAAAAGAUGACGAUGAUAGUGAUAUUCC
rnacentral:sRNA from 1 species